UCUUUUAAUAAUAGGAACGAUUAGAGAAAGAGAAACCACAGAAUGAUGGAAAGCCCAUGAGUGAUAAAACCUUUGAAAAGAAACGUAGAGACACUAAGACACCAACAACUCUGCUCAAGAGCAUCCCCAUUUCUGUUCUGGGCCCUCUUCUGGCACCCCAUCAACAAGCAAAGAAAUCAAGAAAUCCAAAUUGAUUUGAAGCCAGUCUUUUAAUAAUCAAGAUUUUCAUGCAAAAUAUGGCAACUUAGACGAGUGUGCUAGUAAAAGUUCUGCAGCAGUAUAUACACCUUCCUUCUCAGCAAAGACUUCUGUGAUAUCACUAACUGGUAA